rnacentral:rRNA from 1 species
AUUGAACGCUGGCGGCAGGCCUAACACAUGCAAGUCGGACGAGUGGCGGACGGGUGAGUAAUGUCUGGGAAACUGCCUGCUGGAGGGGUAUAACUACUGGAAACGGUAGCUAAUACCGCAUACCAUCAGAUGUGCCCAGAUGGGAUUAGCUUGUUGGUGGGGUAAUGGCUCACCAAGGCGACGAUCCCUAGCUGGUCUGAGAGGAUGACCAGCCACACUGGAACUGAGACACGGUCCAGACUCCUACGGGAGGCAGCAGUGGGGAAUAUUGCACAAUGGGCGCAAGCCUGAUGCAGCCAUGCCGCGUGGGUGAAGAAGGCCUUCGGGUUGUAAAGCACUUUCAGCGAGGAGGCGUUACCCGCAGAAGAAGCACCGGCUAACUCCGUGCCAGCAGCCGCGGUAAUUC